GACGAACGCUGGCGGCGUGCCUAAUACAUGCAAGUCGAGCGAGACUCUUCGGAGUCUAGCGGCGGACGGGUGAGUAACACGUGGGCAACCUGCCUGUAAGACUGGGAUAACACCGGGAAACCGGUGCUAAUACCGGAUAAUCCUUUUCCUCCCAUGAGGAAAAGCUGAACGUCGGUUUCGGCUGACACUUACAGAUGGGCCCGCGGCGCAUUAGCGAGUUGGUGAGGUAACGGCUCACCAAGGCGACGAUGCGUAGCCGACCUGUGAAGGUGAUCGGCCACACUGGGACUGAGCCACGGCCCAGACUCCUACGGGAGGCAGCAGUAGGGAAUCUUCCACAAUGGACGAAAGUCUGAUGGAGCAACGCCGCGUGAGCGAUGAAGGCCUUCGGGUCGUAAAGCUCUGUUGUUAGGGAAGAACAAGUACCGGAGUAACUGCCGGUACCUUGACGGUACCUAACCAGAAAGCCACGGCUAACUACGUGCCAGCAGCCGCGGUAAGAC
rnacentral:rRNA from 1 species